GGUUAGUCUGGAAAGGAAGGCUGGGUGCAGCAAAUGAAGAGGGCACGCGGGUUUCUGGGUGUUGACAAGGUUCUAGCUGAGUGGCACAUCAAAAGCCGUACCUUUUGGGGUUGCACACUCUGAGGGUUGGCAAGAGAAAGGGGACAGGUCAGAAGAGAAAGGUGAAGAGGAGAGCGCCCUAAUGGAGAAGAGCUCCGUGCGGAUGGCAAAGUGUGGACCGCCGGCGCGGCGCGCGCAGCGCUUCCCGAAUACAAGAGGAGGCAAGUUAACUCCCUGGCCAUAGGAUGAGAGAGCAGUGGCUAGAGAUGGCAAGGGAGAUGUCUGCAGUGCUGUCCUUCAUCACUAUGAACAACCAGUGCUACAGAGUUCAGAUCCGAGAUACAGUCCCCAGUGUAAACAAUCAAUUCAAUCUGUCACACCACAGACAGGUCAGACCGUCGGUCCGUGCCCUGUAAGAAAGGUGGUGAAUGGCCAAGGCCUUACCCGGAACUGUGAGCACGGGUAUGAGAAGAGGUGCACUUUGCCGAAGUCAUCGCCUGUGCACAAGAGCUUUCUCUCGUGAGCCCGGCAGACGGCGUUGAUGUCUGUCCCAUCGGAGCCCUCCGGCCACACUCCUGGAACAGAGCACAGAGGCACUGGAAACUUCAGAGCCACAGCACACAAACGCUGGUCACCAAAGGGGACAGAAAUCCACCUUCAGUCUGGGCUUUAGAAUGGAGAGCCGGGCGGGCGACCACUCGUUUCCAGCUCCCGCCUCUCUCUAGCUCUGGGUUGCAGGGCACCCAGGGUCAGCCCUGAGAAGCCCUGCAUCUCUUCUAACAGCUGUGCUAAGUCACACAGCCCCGGCAGUGUCCUGAGCUGCCUGCAUCCACUGGACCCUUCUGGGUGCAGCGGCAGGCACCACGGCCCUGCUUAUAAACUGAUGUCUUUCCACUGUAAGUCCUGUAAGUGCAGGGUACCUGGAGAAUAGGGGCACUGUGUCCUGGGAGAGGCUUUUGGUUGAGAGCAUUGUAUAUUAGAGGCCUGAGUACACACCAGCUCCUUAGUAGGCAGAACAGCAGGAAAUAGGGAAACGCCACACUGAGAGGACUUAGGAAUUCCUACCAGCCGACUGACUCCCAAUUGCUCCGACUGUAGCAACGCAUUGUGAGCUAUUUAUGAAUGUAUUCCUAAGAUGAGCUUUGAAAGAAGUGAACGUUUUAGGCGGUAGGUAAGUAAGUCAAGUGUCAUGUGUUCCUGUGGGUAUAACAUCAUCCACAUAACCACUAGGGGGCGCUGUCCUGUGCCUCGGGAAGAGUUAAUUACCCCCUCAGCCUGAGCCUGGGAGCUGAGGAGAUUGUGAAUCAUGGCCCCAGGUGGGAACAGAACAGAUGGACAAGACUGAAAGUGGUGGGAACAAGGUUCGAGUCCCGGCACCUCCGUGGCAGCUCACAACUAUGGGUAACUCUAGUGCCAGUGGGGAUCUGAUGCCCUCUUUGGUUUCCACAGGCACUGCAGUUUCACAAAAGCAAAAUGUUCAUACCAAUAAACAAUUAAAAAUAAACCC